UAGCACUACAAUACUUUUCAGCCCAUGAUUACAUAAGCUCAUAAUGGCAUAGCCCUCCUCUCUGCUUUUCCUUUAGUUAACAGAAGUUCACAUGAUUUAAUAGGUGAGAUACCACGUGUCAAUGACUAGGGUGGUUUGAGGAGACAAAGUUCAUUGUGUAGACAAUUCAGAUGACAUAAUACUACAGGAGAGUAACUGGGUCCUUGUGCUCUGAUUCUGCCAGCGUGCAACUUAAAGCUCUGAGCUGGUCUGCUCCUGCAGUACUGAAGAUCAAGGUAAUCAAAACAAAAAGGGAUAAACCAGCCAACAUGAAGAGUAUCUUGAAGGGCAAAAGUAAGUUUAUAGACUAUGAUUUUAGCAAUAAUGCACAUUUUAAAAUGUCGAAAUUAAAGAUGUUUGUGUGUGUGUCACAGAAGACGAAGCGCCUGAAGCUGAUCUGAGUGUAACUACCGGAGCUGUACGCUGGAAUAUUCCUGAUGAAGAUCUUCAGGUUCACAAGUCAGUUCCCAGCAAGAUCAGUCAGAGUCCUAGACAAGAGGACUUGAAGGAUCUCCGCAGCCUGCAGGAAAGCAUUAAGUUUAUCACACAGUGGAAACAGCAGGUGGAACAUGUCUGCAGGCCUGGCUCCAGUUCAGAUGAAGGCCCAAUUAUCAGUGUGCAUGCAGAGCCGCAUAGUAUGGAGCAAUGCCGCAAACUCAUUCUUGAGUGGGCAAAGGAGCUCAAGAAAGUUGACGAUUUGUUCAGUGAGGCCACAUGGCGAAAAGAAAGACAUGCACUGUUGGAGCAGGAAGAGAACAAGGUGGAUUCUGCCAAGCAGAUGGAGCAGAUGAUCAUGGAAUGGGCUAAAGAGCUGCAGACUGUGUGGGAGGUUUGACCCCAUCAGACAGAUGUAGUAAUGUGCCAAAUCUAUAUACAGUAUAUUAUGAGCACAUGUAAUUGUUUCUUUUUUUUACUUAUGUACAGCGGUUAGGUGUGAUGAGACAAGAAUUAGCCCAGUUUCUCAAGCAGCUGGAACUGAAGAAGAAGAAAAUCUUGACUCUGUUGCCUUUUUUGGAGUUCAUAACUUGGUCUCUACUGAAACAGGACAGCCAGGUACAAGAUUAAGAUAAGAGAUCAAUAAACAGGAAAAAUGUAACUAGAGUCCAUAGUGUACACCCAUAAACUAGACAAACAUUCAUGAUCAAGAGAUACUGCUUAUGUAAACAGUUUGAAACAUUUUAGAGACAGGUACGAUCAGCCCCAAUGUAUUUUGAAGAUCUAGACAGAAAUUUAGUUUCAGCAUUAUUACAAAUGCAGAUGUUUA
rnacentral:lncRNA from 1 species